UCCCUGGUGGUCCAGUGGUUGAGACUCCAUGCUUUCACUGUGUAGGGCCCAGGUUUAAUCCCUGGUCAAGGAA
rnacentral:tRNA from 1 species